rnacentral:rRNA from 1 species
ACCUAGCGGCGAAUGGGUGAGUAACACGUGCUUAAUCUACCCUUCAGAUUGGAAUACCCAAUGGAAACAUUGGCUAAUGCCGGAUACGCAUGGAAUCGCAUGAUUCCGUUGUGAAAGGGGCCUCAAAGCCCCACUGAAGGAUGAGGGUGCGGAACAUUAGUUAGUUGGUAGGGUAAUGGCCUACCAAGACUAUGAUGUUUAGCCGGGUCGAGAGACUGAACGGCCACAUUGGGACUGAGAUACGGCCCAAACUCCUACGGGAGGCAGCAGUAGGGAAUAUUCCACAAUGAGCGAAAGCUUGAUGGAGCGACACAGCGUGCACGAUGAAGGUCUUCGGAUUGUAAAGUGCUGUUAUAAGGGAAGAACACUCAGAGGAGGAAAUGCCUUUGAGCUGACGGUACCUUGUCAGAAAGCGAUGGCUAACUAUGUGCCAGCAGCCGCGGUAAUACAUAGGUCGCAAGCGUUAUCCGGAAUUAUUGGGCGUAAAGCGUUCGUAGGCUGUUUAUUAAGUCUGGAGUCAAAUCCCGGGGCUCAACCCCGGCUCGCUUUGGAUACUGAUAAACUAGAGUUGGAUAGAGGUAAGCGGAAUUCCAUGUGAAGCGGUGAAAUGCGUAGAUAUAUGGAAGAACACCAAAGGCGAAGGCAGCUUACUGGGUCUAUACUGACGCUGAGGGACGAAAGCGUGGGGAGCAAACAGGAUUAGAUACCCUGGUAGUCCACGCCGUAAACGAUGAUCAUUAGUCGGUGGAGAGUUCACUGACGCAGCUAACGCAUUAAAUGAUCCGCCUGAGUAGUAUGCUCGCAAGAGUGAAACUUAAAGGAAUUGACGGGGACCCGCACAAGCGGUGGAGCAUGUGGUUUAAUUUGAAGAUACACGGAGAACCUUACCCACUCUUGACAUCUUCCGCAAAG